AAGACCUUGCGCUUUUGGAGCGGCCGAUGCCUGAUUAGCUUGUUGGUAAGGUAAAAGCUUACCAAGGCUUCGAUCAGUAGCUGGUCUGAGAGGACGACCAGCCACACUGGGACUGAGACACGGCCCAGACUCCUACGGGAGGCAGCAGUGGGGAAUUUUGGACAAUGGGGGCAACCCUGAUCCAGCCAUGCCGCGUGAGUGAAGAAGGCCUUCGGGUUGUAAAGCUCUUUCAGCCGGAACGAAACGGUUACGGUUAAUACCCGUGACUAAUGACGGUACCGGAAGAAGAAGCACCGGCUAACUACGUGCCAGCAGCCGCGGUAAUACGUAGGGUGCGAGCGUUAAUCGGAAUUACUGGGCGUAAAGCGUGCGCAGGUGGUUUUGUAAGUCAGAUGUGAAAGCCCCGGGCUCAACCUGGGAACU
rnacentral:rRNA from 1 species